AAUGACAUACUUCUUUAUAUGCCCAUAUGAACCUGGCCAACUAUGGAAUGUAAAGAAGUAUGUAUUUCAGGCACGGA
ensembl:miRNA MIR1-1 microRNA 1-1